AGUGUUUAUAUACACUUUGCCAAUUAAAAAAAAAAGCUGGAAAGUGGUAUCGUUUGGUAGGAUGCUUAAAUAAUCAAAAUAGUUUUUGGGAGUUUUCUGAUUUAUGAUUCCACAUCUAAUUUCUUUACAUUUUUGUCAAAUAACAUCAAACAAAAUAUAUAAUUUCUAACUGUUUUGAAAGCACAUAUGUUUUGAAAGUAUUUUACCAAAAAAAAAAAAAAAAAAAAACUGUUUUGAAAGCACAGAUGUAAAAAGGUAAAUUCAUAGGGAAGCCAAAGCCAUCAUCAUUUUGUAAGUUGUAUUCCAAGGAAAGAUAAAUUGAGCGACCAUUCUUCCCACUUCCACGUUUACAGUGGUUGCAAAUUUUGAAUUGCAUCUUAUUCUUAUCCGUAUUUAAACAUGAAAAUAUCAUAUACUCGAAUCAAUCUUUCUUUUCUAUGGGAAACAAAUAGGUGACUUCAUUUCCUUGGGUACAUCAAAACAAACGGGCCGAAUUAUAAUGGACUCAAAGAAUAUCAAUAACAUAAUUGGGCUUAGAUAUGUAGUAACAUUAAGACCCAAUUGCCCAUCUAUCUUCGCGGACUAUCUCAUGUUUUUGUCCAAAUUGAUAUAUGCCAACACGUAUAGCUAUUUGCUCCUAUUUUGUGUCCAAGUGGUUUAACUAGAUAAUAGAUCUUUUAGAUCUUUUAUGACCUGGC
rnacentral:lncRNA from 1 species